rnacentral:lncRNA from 1 species
CACGUUGAUUCGCGUCCAGUAACUCAGACGUGUCAGUGAAGGCAGCCGCGGAAGUAUCGGCUUUCAGUUCAACAUGGCUUCAAAUGCGACGAGCUGAGAAAAACCAGGGCUAUUUUCUAUUUCAGCACUCCCGAGGCGUCAAACGAGGAAAAAGACUUGGGAAAUAUAUUCAACAGCUGCAUUCAAAGUGUGGAGAAGCUCAGUCUCUUGUUCUCCAACCGAUGACGCAAGCUGACAUCACUUGGUCUAGACAGUUACAUGGGGAGGGAAACAAAAGCAAUUAUGGCCAUGUUUUGUUUUGGAAAGACAGAAUACCAUAUGUAAAAGACAAAAAGUUUCUUGAAACAUGUCCAAACGUAUCUGGUACACACUGCACCCAUACUGCACCAAUAGCGUAAGAAACUGAAGCCUUUUUAGGAUUAUAUAGAUUUUUUUUUUUUUUUUUUUUUUUUUUUUUUUUUUAAAUUUUGCCCUGAAGAACUAUUUUUUUUUUUUUUUUUUUUUUGCGUUAUGACAUUAUUGACAUUAUUUUUUUACACAUGGGUCAGUGACAAGAGUUUAAGUAUGCAC